rnacentral:rRNA from 1 species
UGGGGAAUUUUGGACAAUGGGCGAAAGCCUGAUCCAGCAAUGCCGCGUGUGUGAAGAAGGCCUUCGGGUUGUAAAGCACUUUUGUCCGGAAAGAAAUCCUUGGCUCUAAUACANUCGGGGGGAUGACGGUACCGGAAGAAUAAGCACCGGGCUAACUACGUGCCAGCAGCCGCGGUAAUACGUAGGGUGCAAGCGUUAAUCGGAAUUACUGGGCGUAAAGCGUGCGCAGGCGGUUUGCUAAGACCGAUGUGAAAUCCCCGGGCUCAACCUGGGAACUGCAUUGGUGACUGGCAGGCUAGAGUAUGGCAGAGGGGGGUAGAAUUCCACGUGUAGCAGUGAAAUGCGUAGAGAUGUGGAGGAAUACCGAUGGCGAAGGCAGCCCCCUGGGCCAAUACUGACGCUCAUGCACGAAAGCGUGGGGAGCAAACAGGAUUAGAUACCCUGGUAGUCCACGCCCUAAACGAUGUCACUAGUUGUUGGGGAUUCAUUUCCUUAGUAACGUAGCUAACGCGUGAAGUUGACCGCCUGGGGAGUACGGUCG